rnacentral:rRNA from 1 species
AUGGAACACUUUGAAAGUCCUGUGGAGGAGAACAAUGAAGUUCCUAUUAGGAGCAAGAGACAGAGGACUGCAAAGUCCUUUGGUGAUGAUUUUCUUGUGUAUCUCAUAGAUGACACUCCCAGUUCUAUUUCAGAGGCCUAUGCAUCUGAAGAUGCUGACUACUGGAAGGAAGCAGUUCGUAGCGAGAUGGAUUCCAUCUUGGCGAAUGAAACUUGGGAGAUAACUAAUCGUCCUUAUGGGUGCAAACCUAUAGGAUGCAAAUGGGUAUUCAAUAAGAAGCUUAGGCCUGAUGGUACUAUUGAAAAGUACAAGGCUCGGCUCGUGGCUAAGGGUUAUACCCAAAAGGAAGGUGAAGAUUUCUUUGAUACUUACUCACUUGUGGCUCGACUGACCACUAUUCAAGUUCUACUUUCACUAGCUGCCUCACAUGGUCUUCUCGUUCAUCAAAUGGAUGUUAAGACUGCUUUCCUAAAUGGAGAGUUGGAUGAGGAAAUUUAUAUGGAACAACCAGAUGGGUUUGUAGUAGAUGGUCAGGAAGGGAAAGUGUGCAAGUUGCUGAAGUCCUUGUAUGGACUCAAGCAAGCACCCAAACAGUGGCAUGAGAAGUUUGAAAGAACUUUAACAGCUGCAGGCUUUGUUGUGAACGAAGCUGACAAAUGUGUGUACUAUCGCCAUGGUGGGGGCGAGGGAGUUAUGCUUUGCUUGUAUGUUGAUGACAUACUAAUUUUCGGAACAAAUCUGAAUGUUAUUAAGGAGGAUUUAGGAGUGGCUGAUGUCAUUCUGAACAUCAUGUUGUUGAGAGAUGAUGAUGGUGGGAUUACAUUGCUUCAAUCUCACUAUGUGGAAAAGAUCUUGAGUCGCUUUGGCUAUAGUGACUGCAAGCCCUCUCCAACACCAUAUGAUGCUAGCGUGCUGCUUCGAAAGAAUCGAAGAAUUGCUAGAGAUCAAUUGAAGUAUUCUCAGAUUAUUGGCUCGCUUAUGUACUUAGCAAGUGCUACAAGACCUGACAUCUCUUUUGCUGUUAGCAAACUGAGUCGGUUUGUUUCAAAACCAGGAGAUGUGCAUUGGAAAGCUCUAGAGAGAGUUUUGCAUUAUUUGAAAGGCACUGCGAAUUAUGGAAUUCACUACUCAGAUGCUGAUGAGAUAAAGGCCACAAGCGGUUAUGUAUUCACUCAUGGAGGUGGCGCUGUUUCUUGGAAGUCUUGCAAGCAGACCAUCUUAACGAGGUCAACUAUGGAAGUAGAACUCACAGCACUAGAUACAGCUACGGGCGAAGCAGAUUGGCUUCGCCAACUCUUGAAUGACUUGCCGGUUGUUGAGAAACCUGUACCGGGUGUCCUUAUGAACUGCGACAAUCAAACUGUGAUCACGAAAGUGAGCAGCUCAAAGGAUAACAUGAAGUCAUCAAGACACGUUCAGAGAAGGUUAAAGUCUGUCAGGAAAAUGAAAAACUCCGGAGUUAUUGCAUUGGAUUAUGUCCAAACGUCUAAAAAUCUGGCAGAUCCUUUUACUAAGGGUCUAUCACGUAAUGUGAUAGAUAAUGCAUCAAGGGAGAUGGGUAUGAGACCCACAAUAUAUGUUAUCCUGGAGAACAUCUUUUGA